rnacentral:rRNA from 1 species
UAAGAGCGAAUGGUGGAUGCCUUGACUGGUAAAGGCGAUGAAGGACGUACUAGACUGCGAUAAGCUACGGGGAGCUGUCAAGAAGCUUUGAUCCGUAGAUUUCCGAAUGGGGCAACCCAAUGUAUAGAGAUAUACAUUACCUAUAUAGGAGCGAACGAGGGGAAUUGAAACAUCUUAGUACCCUCAGGAAAAGAAAUCAAUAGAGAUUGCGUCAGUAGCGGCGAGCGAAAGCGCAAGAGGGCAAACCCAGUGCUUGCACUGGGGGUUGUAGGACUGUAAUGUGCAAGAGGUAAGUUUAGCAGAACAUUCUGGAAAGUAUAACCAUAGAGGGUGAUAGUCCCGUAUGCGAAAAACAAACCUUAGCUAGCAGUAUCCUGAGUAGGGCGGGACACGAGGAAUCCUGUCUGAAUCCGGGUCGACCACGAUCCAACCCUAAAUACUAAUACCAGAUCGAUAGUGCACAAGUACCGUGAGGGAAAGGUGAAAAGAACUGAGGUGAUCAGAGUGAAAUAGAACCUGAAACCAUUUGCUUACAAUCAUUCAGAGCCCUAUGUAGGAAUACAGGGUGAUGGACUGCCUUUUGCAUAAUGAGCCUGCGAGUUGUGGUGUCUGGCAAGGUUAAGCAAACGCGAAGCCGUAGCGAAAGCGAGUCUGAAUAGGGCGCUUAGUCAGAUGCUGCAGACCCGAAACGAAGUGAUCUAUCCAUGAGCAAGUUGAAGCUAGUGUAAGAACUAGUGGAGGACUGAACCCAUAGGCGUUGAAAAGCCCCGGGAUGACUUGUGGAUAGGGGUGAAAGGCCAAUCAAACUUCGUGAUAGCUGGUUCUCUCCGAAAUAUAUUUAGGUAUAGCGUUGUGUCGUAAUAUAAGGGGGUAGAGCACUGAAUGGGCUAGGGCAUACACCAAUGUACCAAACCCUAUCAAACUCCGAAUACCUUAUAUGUAAUCACAGCAGUCAGGCGGCGAGUGAUAAAAUCCGUCGUCAAGAGGGAAACAACCCAGACUACCAGCUAAGGUCCCUAAAUCUUACUUAAGUGGAAAACGAUGUGAAGUUACUUAAACAACCAGGAGGUUGGCUUAGAAGCAGCCAUCCUUUAAAGAAAGCGUAAUAGCUCACUGGUCUAGUGAUUUUGCGCGGAAAAUAUAACGGGGCUAAAGU